GUCUACGGCCAUGCCACCAUGAACAAGCCCGAUCCCAUCUGAUCUCAGAAGCUAAGGAGGAUCGGGCCUGGUUAGUAUUGGAUGGGAGACCACCUAGGAAGACCAGACACUGUAGGUG
rnacentral:rRNA from 1 species